GACGAACGCUGGCGGCGUGCUUAACACAUGCAAGUCGAACGGAAAGGCCCUGCUUUUGUGGGGUGCUCGAGUGGCGAACGGGUGAGUAACACGUGAGUAACCUGCCCUUGACUUUGGGAUAACUUCAGGAAACUGGGGCUAAUACCGGAUAGGAGCUCCUGCUGCAUGGUGGGGGUUGGAAAGUUUCGGCGGUUGGGGAUGGACUCGCGGCUUAUCAGCUUGUUGGUGGGGUAGUGGCUUACCAAGGCUUUGACGGGUAGCCGGCCUGAGAGGGUGACCGGCCACAUUGGGACUGAGAUACGGCCCAGACUCCUACGGGAGGCAGCAGUGGGGAAUAUUGCACAAUGGGCGGAAGCCUGAUGCAGCAACGCCGCGUGCGGGAUGACGGCCUUCGGGUUGUAAACCGCUUUCGCCUGUGACGAAGCGUGAGUGACGGUAAUGGGUAAAGAAGCACCGGCUAACUACGUGCCAGCAGCCGCGGUGAUACGUAGGGUGCGGGCGUUGUCCGGAUUUAUUGGGCGUAAAGGGCUCGUAGGUGGUUGAUCGCGUCGGAAGUGUAAUCUUGGGGCUUAACCCUGAGCGUGCUUUCGAUACGGGUUGACUUGAGGAAGGUAGGGGAGAAUGGAAUUCCUGGUGGAGCGGUGGAAUGCGCAGAUAUCAGGAGGAACACCAGUGGCGAAGGCGGUUCUCUGGGCCUUUCCUGGCGCUGAGGAGCGAAAGCGUGGGGAGCGAACAGGCUUAGAUACCCUGGUAGUCCACGCUGUAAACGGUGGGUACUAGGUGUGGGGUCCAUUCCACGGGUUCCGUGCCGUAGCUAACGCUUUAAGUACCCCGCCUGGGGAGUACGGCCGCAAGGCUAAAACUCAAAGGAAUUGACGGGGCCCCGCACAAGCGGCGGAGCAUGCGGAUUAAUUCGAUGCAACGCGUAGAACCUUACCUGGGUUUGACAUGGAUCGGGAGUGCUCAGAGAUGGGUGUGCCUCUUUUGGGGUCGGUUCACAGGUGGUGCAUGGCUGUCGUCAGCUCGUGUCGUGAGAUGUUGGGUUAAGUCCCGCAACGAGCGCAACCCUUGUUCACUGUUGCCAGCACGUUAUGGUGGGGACUCAGUGGAGACCGCCGGGGUCAACUCGGAGGAAGGUGGGGAUGACGUCAAGUCAUCAUGCCCCUUAUGUCCAGGGCUUCACGCAUGCUACAAUGGCUGGUACAGAGAGUGGCGAGCCUGUGAGGGUGAGCGAAUCUCGGAAAGCCGGUCUCAGUUCGGAUUGGGGUCUGCAACUCGACCUCAUGAAGUCGGAGUCGCUAGUAAUCGCAGAUCAGCAACGCUGCGGUGAAUACGUUCCCGGGGCU
rnacentral:rRNA from 1 species